rnacentral:rRNA from 1 species
UUACGGUCAAAUCACGCUGAAACACCGGUUCUCAUACGAUCACCAAAGUUAAGCAGCGUAGACCCAGGUCAGUACUUAGAUGGGGGACCACUUGGGAACACCUGGUACUGUAAG